AGGUGGCAGGGAACUCGAGGGGGCUGUUGGGUAGGGGUCGGGGCUAGCGCCGGACUGGCUCUCUUCCCCGGUGAGGGAUGUCUCCAAGCUUAAGGAGUAAUUUUUCAAUAAGAAGCUCAUUUUGUUCAUUUACUAACAACUGCUAUUAAAGACCGAUAAAGAUGGUAGGUCCCCAGGCCGCGAGCUCCGGCCUUCCCGUGGGCGGAGACUGCUGCAGCAAGCCACGCCCCGGCCUAGCCAGGACACGGGCACUGGGCUUAUGGUCAGGCUCGGAGCAGGGCCACUGUAUACACAAACUCAGAACUGGCUUGAUGGAGGUGAAGAGGACUCAGGAGAAAACCACAAGUGAGAUAAUUCCAGACCAUCGGCGUCAACUGUUUGAUUGCUAGCCACAGAUUGAGGCACCACAGAGAGAUGCUGGCCUGGUAUACUCUGAAAAACCCAUAGACUCCAGGUAGAAGCUUGUUCAGGGGCCAGAGAGAUGGCUCAGCAGAAUGCAAUUCAGAGAAAUAGAGCAAACCCACUCACUAACGAAGACAUGAGGACUAAAGGCCCAAGAAGAGCUGCAGAUUUCCCGAGACCCAGAAGUGAGGGGUGAAUCCUGGACAUGAUUCCCCAGUUCUUUCCUAACCCCGCUUCCCUUCUGGCAGGGUCCUCCCUCUGUCUGCUUCACUCUGAACCGUUCCAUAAUUCCUUCCAUCGGCAUGGCCUUCCUGAGGUUUGAUUUAUGCAAACACAGCAUAAUUUAAUCUAAAGAGUCACAGGGCAUGUUCUAAGAUACAAGCUCCUCUUUGGAAGGAAGGGCUCUGUCUUCAUAGAAGUCUGGAACUUCAAGCCAGAAUGUUCUCACACAUCACAGUUCCUGGCAUGAAGACCUUUUAGUGUACAUAAUGCUUACAAACCCACGGUGUAUGCCAGACAUGGGUCAAAAACUGUGCUAUUCAUAGAGGUAUGUGUGGGAGGCAGUCCUGGCCUUUAGAGGCUGGGGCUAUCUAGACUGCAGUCACUUCCUCCUUGCUUGAGACAGAUCAUAUUAUACAGCAUGGCCAGUCUUUUUAGACCAGGCUGGUCUAAAACUCACAGAGACCUGACUGCCUCUGCCACAUGUGGAGGUCAGAGAACAACUCUGGGGAGUCAUUUCUCUUCUUCUGCUAUCUGGAUCCUGGGGAUUGAACUCAGACUCAACAGCAGGCACCUUACACCCGAACUAUCUUGCUGACCCUGAAGUGAUCUUACAGGGAGUACUGAAUAAGGUUGUCUUUAAAGUGAUGCCUUAAAAUUUUUUAAAGAAACAUGCAUGUGUGAGGGGAGCA